rnacentral:rRNA from 1 species
AGAGUCUUCCCCUUCGGGGGACAAAGUGACAGGUGGUGCAUGGUUGUCGUCAGCUCGUGUCGUGAGAUGUUGGGUUAAGUCCCGCAACGAGCGCAACCCUUAAGCUUAGUUGCCAGCAUUAAGUUGGGCACUCUAAGUUGACUGCCGGUGACAAACCGGAGGAAGGUGGGGAUGACGUCAAAUCAUCAUGCCCCUUAUGAUUUGGGCUACACACGUGCUACAAUGGACAAUACAAAGGGCAGCUAAACCGCGAGGUCAUGCAAAUCCCAUAAAGUUGUUCUCAGUUCGGAUUGUAGUCUGCAACUCGACUACAUGAAGCUGGAAUCGCUAGUAAUCGUAGAUCAGCAUGCUACGGUGAAUACGUUCCCGGGUCUUGUACACACCGCCCGUCACACCACGAGAGUCUGUAACACCCGAAGCCGGUGGAGUAACCAUUUAUGGAGCUAGCCGUCGAAGGUGGGACAAAUGAUUGGGGUGAAGUCGUAACAAGGUAGCCGUAUCGGAAGGUGCGGUUGGAUCACCUC